CCAGUAGGCCGGGUGGCCGCCCCGACUUGUCGGGGAGGAAGGUCCGAGCUCCAAUCGGGCAGCGCGCUGGGUAACUCCCAGGCGGGGCGACCCGACGGAAAGUGGCACAGAAACAUACCGCCGCGAGCGAUCGCGGUAAGGGUGAAAUGGUGGGGUAAGAGCCCACCGGCGUCGGUGAGAGCCGGCGGCCGGCCAAACCCCGCGCGGAGCAAGGCCAAAUAGGAGGGCGCUAAGGGUGC
rnacentral:RNase_P_RNA from 1 species